rnacentral:rRNA from 1 species
UACGUAGGGCGCAAGCGUUGUCCGGAAUUAUUGGGCGUAAAGAGCUCGUAGGCGGUCUGUCGCGUCGGAUGUGAAAGCCCGGGGCUUUAACCCCGGGUCUGCAUUCGAUACGGGCAGACUAGAGUGUGGUAGGGGAGAUCGGAAUUCCUGGUGUAGCGGUGAAAUGCGCAGAUAUCAGGAGGAACACCGGUGGCGAAGGCGGAUCUCUGGGCCAUUACUGACGCUGAGGAGCGAAAGCGUGGGGAGCGAACAGG